GCAUCAGCCUAGUUACCACAACCACCAUUAUUACCGGCACGAUUGCUGGGGUGGGCUGAUGCGCGUAAGAAUUGCAGAAAAGAGCCCACACCCAAUCCGGUGUGGGUUUUUUUUUG
rfam:Photobacterium aquae strain CGMCC 1.12159 contig0022, whole genome shotgun sequence.